rnacentral:tRNA from 1 species
GCCCCUAUAGCUCAGCUGGUAGAGCAACGGACUCUUAAUCCGUGGGUCGUGAGUUCGAAUCUCUCUGGGGGUA